GCCGCAAUAGCUCAGUUUGGAAGAGCGUACGACUGAAGAUCGUAAGGUCCCUGGUUCGAACCCGGGUUGUGGCA